UUUAAAUUUAGAGUUUGAUCCUGGCUCAGGACGAACGCUGGCGGCGUGCUUAACACAUGCAAGUCGAGCGAUGAAACUUCCUUCGGGAAGUGGAUUAGCGGCGGACGGGUGAGUAACACGUGGGUAACCUGCCUCAAAGUGGGGGAUAGCCUU
rnacentral:rRNA from 1 species